rnacentral:rRNA from 1 species
AGAGUUUGAUCAUGGCUCAGGAUGAAUGCUGGCGGCGUGCUUAACACAUGCAAGUCGAGCGGUAAGGCCCUUUCGGGGUACACGAGCGGCGGACGGCUGAGUAACGCGUGGGAACAUGCCCAAAGUGAGGAAUAAGCUCCAGAAAUGGAGUCUAAUGCCGCAUAUGAUCUUCGGAUUAAAGGAUUUAUCCGCUUUGGGAGUGGCCUGCGUAAGAUUAGGUAGUUGGUGAGGUAAUGGCUCACCAAGCCGACGAUCUUUAGCUGGUCUGAGAGGAUGACCAGCCAGACUGGAACUGAGACACGGUCCAGACUCCUACGGGAGGCAGCAGUGAGGAAUAUUCCACAAUGGGCGAAAGCCUGAUGGAGCAACGCCGCGUGCAGGAUGAAGGCCUUCGGGUCGUAAACUGCUUUUAUAAGUGAAGAAUAUGACGGUAACUUAUGAAUAAGCACCGGCUAACUACGUGCCAGCAGCCGCGGUCAUACGUAGGGUGCAAGCAUUAUCCGGAGUGACUGGGCGUAAAGAGUUGCGUAGGUGGUUUGUUAAGUGAAUAGUGAAAUCUGGGGGCUCAACCUCACAGACUAUUAUUCAAACUGGCAAACUCGAGAAUGGUAGAGGUAACUGGAAUUUCUAGUGUAGGAGUGAAAUCCGUAGAUAUUAGAAGGAACACCAAUGGCGUAGGCAGGUUACUGGACCAUUUCUGACACUGAGGCACGAAAGCGUGGGGAGCGAACCGGAUUAGAUACCCGGGUAGUCCACGCCGUAAACUAUGGAUACUAGCUGUUGGGGGUAUCGACCCCCCCAGUAGCGAAGCUAACGCGUUAAGUAUCCCGCCUGUGGAGUACGGUCGCAAGACUAAAACUUAAAGGAAUUGACGG